GAAGAGAGGCAAUUCCUGUGACAGUUAUCUUAGCAACAGGUUGGAGCAGGGGCAGGUUCUUGAUAAGGGUGGAGGAAGGGCUCAGAAGGAAUGAACAUUUCAGUCCCUCAGGGCACAGUGUCCAGCUUCCCAGGACUCACUCAAAAUUGGCCUGACUGGAUCUGACCUGACUCAAUUUACUUAUCUAUUCUGACUGCCUGUCUAAUUCUGGCUUCACUGCCACUGGGGAAAGAUGUCAAUUGGCCCUAUUUUUGCCUAUGCUCUCUUGGACAGCAACAUCGGGGUACAGCAGCACUCCUGGGAAUGAUUUACUCUUAGAUCAGCUUCACUCCACUUUGCAGUGCGGAGUGGCAAGGAGAGGGAUUUUCAAUAAUCUUCAGCUAGUACUGAUUCCUCUACAAUAUCCUAUGUGGUUUAUUAGGACAACAUGUUUCUGAUGCAUCCCCUAUGGUUUUGUUUCUGACUAUCCGUGGAUGGGGGAAAGCUGUGUAGAUUUAAUUUCUUCCGUGGGAGCUGACUAGUUGUUUUUUUUUCCACAAAAUGGCUGCCCUUUGGGGCACAGUUUUCUGCCAACAAAUUGACCUGAAUUGUGGGAUCUUCUUCACUGUCCUUGCUACCCCUAUUCUGUUUUAACUAUGUCUGCCUUUCUUUCCAGUUAUUAAGGAAGCAAGUUUGUGGGCUUGUAUUUUCCCUCUUUCUCCCUUUGUUCCCCUUCCCCACUGACUAGUUAGGAUUUGGAAUCAAGAAGUCUUUUCCUUAAUUUCUGCUCUUGUAAUGAAAUUCCAAGUCCCUCUAGAUCUCAAACUAUGCAAUGUUGAGUUUUAGGGUAUUCAUUUACCCACCUCUAUGGCCAGCUGUGAUUUCACUACUUUGAUCUGGGCUUCACAGACGUCCUGGGUUGCUGCCAAGAUAUGCACCACCAUUUAUCUCCUUUCUUAGUCCUAAGUAUUCUGAAUUUGACUUUCUAUUGCUUAUACUACCAAAUUUUGUACAUGCAUUUCAUAUAUUGGUAAUUAGCAUCAUUUUGUUUCUACUUAAAGAACUUCC
rnacentral:lncRNA from 1 species